GACGAACGCUGGCGGCGUGCCUAAUACAUGCAAGUCGAGCGAGCUUGCCUAGAUGAAUUUGGUGCUUGCACCAAAUGAAACUAGAUACAAGCGAGCGGCGGACGGGUGAGUAACACGUGGGUAACCUGCCCAAGAGACUAGGAUAACACCUGGAAACAGAUGCUAAUACCGGAUAACAACACUAGACGCAUGUCUAGAGUUUAAAAGAUGGUUCUGCUAUCACUCUUGGAUGGACCUGCGGUGCAUUAGCUAGUUGGUAAGGUAACGGCUUACCAAGGCAAUGAUGCAUAGCCGAGUUGAGAGACUGAUCGGCCACAUCGGGACUGAGACACGGCCCAAACUCCUACGGGAGGCAGCAGUAGGGAAUCUUCCACAAUGGACGCAAGUCUGAUGGAGCAACGCCGCGUGAGUGAAGAAGGGUUUCGGCUCGUAAAGCUCUGUUGGUAGUGAAGAAAGGUAGAGGUAGUAACUGGCCUUUAUUUGACGGUAAUUACUUAGAAAGUCACGGCUAACUACGUGCCAGCAGCCGCGGUAAUACGUAGGUGGCAAGCGUUGUCCGGAUUUAUUGGGCGUAAAGCGAGUGCAGGCGGUUCAAUAAGUCUGAUGUGAAAGCCUUCGGCUCAACCGGAGAAUUGCAUCAGAAACUGUUGAACUUGAGUGCAGAAGAGGAGAGUGGAACUCCAUGUGUAGCGGUGGAAUGCGUAGAUAUAUGGAAGAACACCAGUGGCGAAGGCGGCUCUCUGGUCUGCAACUGACGCUGAGGCUCGAAAGCAUGGGUAGCGAACAGG
rnacentral:rRNA from 1 species